rnacentral:misc_RNA from 1 species
UUUCCGUAGGUGAACCUGCGGAAGGAUCAUUCAUAAUAAGUGUUUUAUGGCACUUUUUUAAAUCCAUAUCCGCCUUGUGUGCAAUGUCAGGGUUGAUUCUUCUCUCGAGAGGAUCAACCCCAAACAUCAACUAUAUCUCAACUCUUUGUCUGAAAAAUAUUAUGAAUAAAACAAUUCAAAAUACAACUUUCAACAACGGAUCUCUUGGCUCUC